AUGAACGAGAGAGAGAAGAUAGGAAAAGUCGGCCAAUGGUGGGAAUGGUACAAAAGUAAGGGGGUGUCUCUUCUUAAAUAUAUAUUUUUUUUUCUUUUGAUUUUUUCCUU
rnacentral:ribozyme from 1 species